GACGAACGCUGGCGGCGUGCUUAACACAUGCAAGUCGAACGAUGAAGCCGGAGCUUGCUCUGGUGAAUUAGUGGCGAACGGGAGAGUAACACGUGAGUAACCUGCCCUUGACUCUGGAAUAACUGCGGGAAACUGUAGCUAAUACCGGAUACGACCCUCGGAGGCAUCUCCUGGGGGUGGAAAGAAUUUCGGUCAAGGAUGGACUCGCGGCCUAUCAGCUAGUUGGUGAGGUAAAGGCUCACCAAGGCGACGACGGGUAGCCGGCCUGAGAGGGUGACCGGCCACACUGGGACUGAGACACGGCCCAGACUCCUACGGGAGGCAGCAGUGGGGAAUAUUGCACAAUGGGCGCAAGCCUGAUGCAGCAACGCCGCGUGAGGGAUGACGGCCUUCGGGUUGUAAACCUCUUUUAGCAGGGAAGAAGCGAAAGUGACGGUACCUGCAGAAAAAGCACCGGCUAACUACGUGCCAGCAGCCGCCGUAA
rnacentral:rRNA from 1 species